rnacentral:rRNA from 1 species
GAUGAACGCUGGCGGCGUGCCUAACACAUGCAAGUCGAGCGAUUUACUUCGGUAAAGAGCGGCGGACGGGUGAGUAACGCGUGGGUAACCUGCCCUGUACACACGGAUAACAUACCGAAAGGUAUGCUAAUACGAGAUAACAUGAGAGAGUCGCAUGGCUUUYUUAUCAAAGCUUUUGCGGUACAGGAUGGACCCGCGUCUGAUUAGCUAGUUGGUAAGGUAACGGCUYACCAAGGCGACGAUCAGUAGCCGACCUGAGAGGGUGAUCGGCCACAUUGGAACUGAGACACGGUCCAAACUCCUACGGGAGGCAGCAGUGGGGAAUAUUGCACAAUGGGCGAAAGCCUGAUGCAGCAACGCCGCGUGAGCGAUGAAGGCCUUCGGGUCGUAAAGCUYUGUCCUCAAGGAAGAUAAUGACGGUACUGAGAGAG